GGUUAAAAUACAGUGUUACUAAGAGAUCUAUGUAUAGCACCGACAAACUGUUUGCGUAUGCAGUGAUUGUAAUAUGUAAGACAUGAUAUGUAUCGGAAUUCCAUAAAUAUGCUUUCUGUGUUGGUGUUGGUGUUGGUGUUACCGAAUCAUGUGACAACAGUUUCGCACUUCGAAUGGAAAAAUACAACAAAUCCAGUCAUCACUACUGCACAUAAAAGAAUUGCCCUGGAGUGGAA